rnacentral:rRNA from 1 species
CUUGGUCAUUUAGAGGAAGUAAAAGUCGUAACAAGGUUUCCGUAGGUGAACCUGCGGAAGGAUCAUUAUUGAAUAAACCUGAUGUAGUUGUUGCUGGCUCUCUAGGGAGCAUGUGCACACUCAUCAUCUUUAUAUUUCCACCUGUGCACCUUUUGUAGACUUGGAGAAUUUGAGCAAUCAAGUUGUUCAGGCCUACGUUUUAUCAUAUACCCCAUAGUAUGUAUUAGAAUGUAUCAGUGGGCUUUGUGCCUAUAAACACUAUACAACUUUCAGCAACGGAUCUCUUGGCUCUCGCAUCGAUGAAGAACGCAGCGAAAUGCGAUAAGUAAUGUGAAUUGCAGAAUUCAGUGAAUCAUCGAAUCUUUGAACGCACCUUGCGCUCCUUGGUAUUCCGAGGGGCAUGCCUGUUUGAGUGUCAUUAAAUUCUCAACCUCUCUAGUUUUUAUUAACUAGUAGAUGGCUUGGAUGUGGGGGUUUAUUUUGCCGGCUUUCACAAGUCAGCUCCCCUUAAAUGUAUUAGCCGGUGCCCUCUAACCGUCUAUUGGUGUGAUAAUUAUCUACGCCGUGGACUAUUAGACUUGGUUGCACUGCUUCUAACUGUCCUUUAUGGACAAUAUAAUGACAUUUUGACCUCAAAUCAGGUAGGACUACCCGCUGAACUUAAGCAUAUCAAUAAGCGGAGGAAAAGAAACUAACAAGGAUUCCCCUAGUAACUGCGAGUGAAGCGGGAAAAGCUCAAAUUUAAAAUCUGACGGUCUUUUGGUCGUCCGAGUUGUAAUCUAGAGAAGUGUUAUCCGCGUUGGACCGUGUACAAGUCUCCUGGAAUGGAGCGUCAUAGAGGGUGAGAAUCCCGUCUUUGACACGGACUACCAGUGCUUUGUGAUGCGCUCUCAAAGAGUCGAGUUGUUUGGGAAUGCAGCUCAAAAUGGGUGGUAAAUUCCAUCUAAAGCUAAAUAUUGGCGAGAGACCGAUAGCGAACAAGUACCGUGAGGGAAAGAUGAAAAGAACUUUGGAAAGAGAGUUAAACAGUACGUGAAAGUGCUGAAAGGGAAACGCUUGAAGU